GUUUUAAUGUCAUUAGCGGAUUUUUACUGGUUGCUAAACCUUCAAUG
rnacentral:rRNA from 1 species